ensembl:lncRNA novel transcript, antisense to CLYBL
GGACCAGAGCCAUGCUUACUUUAAACGCUGAUCCGAGAGACCAAGACAGGAAUCAUACCAGUGAAGCCCAUGGCGGCUCCUUCUCGUGACUGUCUAAGCAGCCCAGCUCCAUCUCGAAAGUCAAUGUACACCAGAUCUAUGGCUUGGAGACCAAAGGCUUUCGCUAUGACAACAAUCUUUUGCCGGGCGUAGAGAAUAUCCAGGGUUUCUUUACUACUUGUUGCACCUGAAAAUGGGAUGUUAACAGAAAAAGGAGGCUUUAACUUUGGAAACCGCACCCAGAUAUUUAUUAUAAAACCUCAGUUUGUACAGAUAUCUAAACCUCCCUGGAAAUUGCUCCUCCGCAAAAUAAAAUUAUUGAAAUACAAAUGAAGACAGGGACGCGUGGAGGCCAAGUUAAACCUCGAAUGUGUCUGUUUAACUGACAAGGCAUCUUUCAAUAGAAUUACUUCUACCUGCAUUAAGAGAAGGCCCCUUCCCCAUUCUGGGAGGCUGGGUCAGGGUCGCAAGGGACUCCUGAUAUAUUUUUUUCCUUCUUAUCAUCGCUUGAAAAGUGCCAGUCCAAAGACAGCACCACAAAGGGUGGCCCAGCAGCUAUGCAGGGCAAUGGUUCGUGUUUCACAGCAAGCACAGAACUGUGUGUGCUGCGAUUGCCCUGUCCAAACUGAAGUUCUGAGCCAAAUGCUUCAGCUUCAGGGUCUGUCUGGAUGGAGAACUUGGGGAGACGGGAGGGCACUUGUUUUGAGAGGGCUGGAAAGCAUCGAUAUGCCUUCUGUAGCCCGCUGAACCGUUGGAUACACAAGUCUCCUGGAAAGACUCGUAUUCAAAUAAAUUCAGUUUUUUCACCCUGAGGGGAGGGAAGUGUCCCUGUUUACAUUUGGAACAUGCCACUCCCUGCCUAGGGAAAGUGCCUGUCUUCAGGUCACUGGGGCUGGUUUCUGUGGCCUCGGCCUCUUUUCUAAAUGCUUCACGGUCUCCAGUCAAACAUGCAGACCCCUCAAGUGCAGCUCACAAGGGAUGGUGAGAAUCGGUGAAAAUCAGCACAUUUAAUACUAAGAGUUCGAAACAUAUUGUAAGAGAAAUUUAAGAUCCAUUUAAAAUAAUAUUUACCUACCGCAUAUUCUGUAGAAAACAAUUCAUUAAGGCAAAUGUGAAAUUGCCUUAAAUUUGCGUUAGAAAUCUAGACAGCCCACAGACUGAUAUGAAAACAAAAUACUGAAGCAACGGUGAGGCUGUUCACAUAAUAUAUUUAUUAGGAGCAAAGGAGAUGCCAUAUAUUCCUGAGCAUGCCUGGGGCUGCAACAGGCUUUCUAUUGCUCGUGUCUUUUAUAAAUGAACAGAAGUAAUAAUGCAGUGCUCUAGAAGCAGGGCAGCUAUGAGGAGCCCUAAAUUAUCAGGAAGUAGUGUCCAUUCCAUUGUCAUGAAAAACCAUUGUCAUGGUUGGCAAAUAUACAUUGUUAUGUAAAUGUCCAUCCUUGAGGGGCAAAGAAAAAAUAUAUACACACAUAUACACACACACACACAGAAAAAGAGAGAGAGAGAUGUCUUUGACACCUAUGCUGGCUCGAAAGUCUUCUCCUCCAAAAACGACUGCAUCUAGAAAGAGACCUACUUGAGGCCCGACCUUCAGGGUUUCUUCACACACUGCCUGUAAAAGAGCAGAACAGAACUAAGUCUCACGGAAACGCGUGCGUCAGAGGGAAGAGGCACGGUGCAUUUCAGUAACAGGACGACCUGACUCUUAACACAGUUUGGCUGAAAGCAGUCCUAAAAACGCAGCCCAAAUUUACCCCUUUCAAAAGGUAUUUAAUAUCAUCCAAGAUAAGUAUAUUGUAUAUAUUUGCUUUGUUUAAUGGAUUAUAUGAAUAUAGUUAUAAUGUUCAAAUUGUAGUUCAUCUCAUUUUUGGAGAAACUUUGAGUUAACUCAUUUUGCUUGCACUAUAAGUUAUUUAUAUCUUUCCAGAAUUCGUUUUUGCUUUAAGAGACUCUCGUAAAACCACAGGGGAGAAGGAAGGAAUUUUAAAAUCAAACUAAUUGAAUUAUUUGCAUUAGGAUCAAGCACAUGGUCUCAGGAUUAAAGACAGCACAAAAACCUGCAACUCCGGAGGGGAAAAUAAAAAUGCAACAAGUCAUCCAAGAUGUGUUCAUAAAGCAACUUCGACAUUUAUAUAUGAAAGUCAAGGCAAAUACCAUUCGUCGUAGACAUAACCGUGAAUCUUGAAAGGUGGAGAUAUAACCUGCUAAUAAUAUACGUGGGUGGGAAAGAAACGAGGAACCGGUGGGGACACUGUUGAUUAAUUUCAGACAUUGUAAGUGCUUCUAAGUACAUUAU